rnacentral:rRNA from 1 species
AUUGAACGCUAGCGGGAUGCUUUACACAUGCAAGUCGAACGAGUGGCGGACGGGUGAAUAAUAUAUCGGCACGUGCCCAGUCGCGGGGGAUAACUACUCGAAAGCGUGGCUACUACCGCAUACUAUUCUAGCGGCCGAUAUGGGAUUAGCUAGUUGGUGGGGUAAAGGCUCACAAAGGCCACGAUCCGUAGCUGGUUUGAGAGGACGACCAGCCACACUGGGACUGAGACACGGCCCAGACUCCUACGGGAGGCAGCAGUGGGGAAUUUUGGACAAUGGGGGAAAGCCUGAUCCAGCCAUCCCGCGUGUAUGAGAAGGCCUUCGGGUUGUAAAGUACUUUUGGCAGAGAAGCGGUAUCUGCAGAAUAAGCACCGGAUAACUACGUGCCAGCAGCCGCGGUAAUUC